UUUCUUUUUCUGAACGUCAACCUCUUCUGUUUAGCCACUCCAUUAGUCUACCUGAGCCAAACCCUUAAGCCAUUCUUAAUUUCCGUGUAGAUUGAGGAAUACUAACCUUUUUCCGAGCACACGAGCAUUUUUGACAGCAGUCGUAGCAGAACUGGCCGGGUCAGUUUUAACACCACAGUAUUGAUUUGUGGGAGUGUGACUGUCCACUCUUUCUGUUCACUUCCCUUAUAGCCCAGGCUUUCCCAGGCGUGCGAAUGGCAGCUCUUUAUGUUCACCUCCCUUAUAUAGCCCAGGCUUUCCCAGGCGUGCGAAUGGCAGCUCUUUAUGUUCACUUCCCUUAUAGCCCAGGCUUUCCCAGGCGUGCGAAUGGCAGCUCUUUAUGUUCACCUCCCUUAUAUAGCCCAGGCUUUCCCAGGCGUGCGAAUGGCAGCUCUUUAUGUUCACCUCCCUUAUAUAGCCCAGGCUUUCCCAGGCGUGCGAAUGGCAGCUCUGAGUUCUGAGGAAAGGCACCUGCUUAAUGCAGGUUAAGGAACAUUUGUAGUAGAACUUAAUUUCCCAUUGGCUGGGCUGCGUUAUAGCACGUUUCUAUCUAAAUGAGUCCAAGUCCAUUUUAUGUUCUAAAUCAUUGUGUUCCUUAUUCGUACUUGAAGUCUUCAUUUCAGUUUGUCCUUUUUGCGCAGAAUCCAAGAUAUGUAGCAAAGCUGGACUAAUUUUUAAAAUGCCUUUCAAUAUCUGCCAUAGUACAGUAUUUGCUUAUAUUAAUCCUGGCAGUUACUCUAUGUUACUACAUGGCUAUUACCUGUAUUUUCUAGGUUUUUGUUUUCUCAAUAUCUGUAAGUUAUUCUGAAAAAAUAGUUCACAGUUGCCUUAUCUCUUGAGUUGGUGUUUUAUCUGACCUUUUGUUUGACCUGAAGGCCCACGUUGUUAGCAGUGAAUGCUGUCUUUAUUGCCUUGACUGGGAAAGGCUAGUAUUGCAGUUUAACUAGACUACUAAUCUCAGGUGUUAAAUUAAAACAUUAGCUAGAAAUAAACCAAGGUCAGUAGACAAUCUAUUAACUCCAUCAAUGCAAUGUAAAAACACCACCCAAGAAAGCUGCUACCUACACUUAGGUGUGGUUGUCUCCGUUCAUGACUGUGUGUGUGGUUCAGUACGAGUCUGACUCUGCUGUGGUCAUUACAGCAUAACUCCAUCCUUUCACUGUUCUGUCUGACAUUCUGUGUAGAUUCACCUGCACGUGUCGAACAAAGAAUGUGCAUGUAGCGUUAUUUAACCCACUCCUUCCGUCUCCGGCAAAGGAAACGUCAAGACCGCUCCUGUUUCUGCUACCAUUGUCUGCUCAUUGCUGCAUUACCGAGUGUACAAAUUUAUGAAUGUCUGUCUGUCCAUUUUCAAACAUUACCAACCGUUUUCACAAAUGCAUGCAUUGAUGUACCGUUCUGAGUUAAAAAAAAAAAAAAAUUUAAUUCAGUUAUAUUUGGAAUAGGUUUAUUUGAAGAUUUACAUGCACAUGGCAUUUCUUGUCAAUGUAUCUUAAAUGGUCUUGUCUCUCUGCCCGAUGUAAGCUAUAGAGUAUAUAAAUCAAAUUCAAAUUAUAUUCAACGACUGGGUGCACAGUUCUAUGAUACACUGCCUUUUAGCUAUCUGAAUAUAACCAAAGCUAUUAGACUUUUGCGUAGGUAUCAUCUCAGUACAGUCUGAGGAAUUAAACUCACUGAAAGUAAUUUCUUAAUUAACUAUGCUUUUGUUUUAUUUAUUUUUUAAUAUUUGGAAAAGGAUACCACAUAUGAGUUUGAGAGGCAAGUUCCUUCAAUGUUCCUUCAGUGUUUAAACAAAAAAGGAAACUUAAUGUCUUUUCUUGCCUUUUAGUGUUUUCAGUUUUUAUGUUUGCUUGAUUGUAACUUUUCUGUAAAAAUCAUUAAUCAUUCAUUUUUAAAUAAAACAAGCCAAUGUAAAAUAAAGAUUGCUAUAUUUAUGAUAA